GACCCCAUAGCUCAGCGGUAGAGCGUGAGAUUCCAGUGCUGUCACAGCAUGGGGUGUUUCCUCAAGGUCAUCCGUUCAAUCCGGGUUGGGGUCA